rnacentral:siRNA from 1 species
CCGGUCAUCGGUGCUCUUCGCC